rnacentral:lncRNA from 1 species
GACUUCCGUCUGCUCCAUGGUGUUCUUCCUCUCGAGUGUGGCCGCCUCCACCAGUCAGAGCCUUGAACACUGUAAGAAUUGCUCUUCUUGUCACCGGCCAACUUCUUGCCUCCUCCAAGGAGUUCUGCAUAAGCGGUCAUCCCUGGUUGAGCAGGAUUGUGUUGGGUGUUUCAGGAGUCAGUGACAUUCAAGGAUGUGGCAGUGGACUUCACUGAGGAAGAGUGGCAGCACUUGGGCCCUGCUCAGAGAGACUUAUACAAAGAAGUGAUGCUGGACAAUUAUAGGAAUCUUGUCUCCCUGGGUAAGAACAACUUUCCUCUGCUGUGAUUUAGGAUUUUCGCAUAGAGAUGAGGGAGGGAGGAGGGAUUGGAAUUCUCAAUUCCUG